GUGAGGCUGCGCUGCCUGUUGCGCCGCGCCGAGCGGAGCCGAGCCGCACCGAGCUGAGUCGCACCGCGAAGUUUUGCGGGAGGCACCGCCGCUCUGCGAUGCGUGUUUUUAAGAAGAGUAUUGACCAUGAGGAAGUUCACAUGUUAGUCAAUUUUUACUAAUCCCUCUGAAGAAAAUGAAACCACACUUCAGCUUUGCCGAUCCUUUCCCACCACUGUUGGCUGAAUGAGAAAUGGUCGUGUGAUUAUGCUGACACCCCAGCAUGCAUUUGGUAGACCUUUGGUUAACUCGUUCCCUCUCCAUGUGUCUACUCUUACAAAGUUUUGUCCUCAUGAUACUGUGCUUUCAUUCUGCCAGUAUGUGCCCAAAAGGCUGCCUCUGUUCUCACUCCGGAGGUUUAAAUGUCAGCUGUAGCAAUGCGAACCUCAAGGAGAUACCCAGAGAUCUUCCGCCAGAAACAGUCUUACUUUAUUUGGACUCCAAUCAGAUAACCUCUAUCCCCAAUGAAAUUUUUAAGGAUUUGCACCAAUUGAGAGUCCUCAAUUUAUCAAAAAACGGGAUUGAAUUUAUAGAUGAACAUGCCUUCAAAGGGGUGGCAGAAACUUUGCAGACUCUGGAUUUGUCCGACAACCGGAUUCAAAGUGUGCACAAAAACGCUUUCAACAACUUAAAGGCCAGAGCCAGGAUUGCAAACAACCCAUGGCACUGCGACUGCACGCUGCAGCAGGUAUUGAGGAGUAUGGCCGUCAAUCAUGAGACAGCCAACAAUGUCAUCUGCAAGACCUCUGUGCUGGAUGAACACGCUGGGAGACCAUUCCUCAAUGCUGCCAAUGAUGCUGACCUCUGUAACCUUCCCAAAAAAACUACUGAUUACGCCAUGCUGGUCACUAUGUUCGGCUGGUUCACCAUGGUGAUCUCAUAUGUGGUUUAUUAUGUCCGGCAAAAUCAGGAGGAUGCAAGGAGGCACCUUGAAUACUUGAAAUCCCUGCCAAGCAGGCAAAAGAAACCAGAUGAAGCUGAUGACAUUAGCACUGUGGUAUAGUAUUCCGAAUACAAUGACUGUCUUUGAGAUGGAAACUAGAUUUGGAUGACACUAACACCAGAGGUUUACUUCUAACAUUCAUUGUAAACAUUAAGACUUUUUUUUUUCCCCGUUUAACUGAAUUACGCCACUGUUGAGCUUUCUAACCGAGAGUUUUGUCUGGGCGGUAUACUCUACUUGUUUCUCUGGUAUUCUAAAGCAAGUGAAUUAAUAUGUAAACCUUAGUUUAGACCCAUUCCACUAUUUAAUAAUGAAAUUUAUUUUUUUAAUUUAAAAAAAAAAAAAAAAGUAACGACAAAUAAAAGCGUAAAUUUGAACCAUGUAAAAGAGAGUUAUUUAUUGAUCAGAAAUCUGUCUGGUGCCAGGGCACCUUGGGAAAUGAUCAGUGCUUGUGAGGUGGAGGAUGAGAGUGAUGAUGAAGUGGGCUAUGAGAAGUACAAGAGCAGAGAAUUCCCAAAAGGCACUUCUCUCCCCAGGGCACAACGUGAAGAGCUGGUGAAUGGCAGCUGAUUUUUGGGAUUGCUCCUUGUGAUAGCAGAGGGAUACGAUAUGGAGAUAGCGGAGUGCUUUGAGUUCAGGAGAAAGGGAUGGAAAAUUGUGUGGGAACCUGGAGGGUGUUUCAGCAGUGCUGGGCAGAAACCAAGAUGAAGGAGAAACAUUUCAGGAUACCAAUGAGAGCUAAGACCUAUGAAUGUUGAGAACAUCUACGAAGAUACUCCAUUGCUGGCAACAGGUGUUCAGAUGAGCAAAGCAAGUGCAAAACUUCACAUAAAAGAGAAUGCAGUAUGUCCUUGAUCAUCUCUAACUACCAUAAAAGCACUUAGGUUAAUGCAAAGAUUUCUGUUUAGUUCGUUGGUUUUGAAUUAAGUUGUCAAAAUCUUGCAUUUUUCUAAGUCUUCAAGCAUGUUCACACUUUCUCUCCCUUGUUAGUGUGCUUGUUCUAGAAGUGGGAAGGUACUGUCAUUUCUUAAACUUGGGGAUAUAACUGAGAAGAAAAUAAAACAAGGAAGAAAAAACAACAGACAAGCUUUUGCAAACUGCAGAAGCAGCAGAAAUUGCUGUUUGUUUGUCUCCCAAUUAUGUCAAUUGUCCUACAAAAACAUGUCAGCUCUUCCCACGUACCUUGCCAGAGGCCUUAUAUCAUCACAUUUGAGACAAUGCUGUAGUUGUUUAAAAAAAAUGCGGUGUUUUCAGCUUUUGAGAGCAAAUUGUAUUCAUCAUGAUCACAGCACUGAUAUUGCCACAGUGGAGAACUGUUAAUUAAUCAAUUUCUUGUUUUAAAAAUGUGUCUCAAAACAACACCAACUCUACUGGCCAUUUUGCCAGGUAACCUUGUUCUAGUCCAGUGUUAAUACUGAAGAUAACAUUUUCUGUCAAAAUGGAGAACACACAGACUGGUGAAUAUAAAAUAAAUGAGACUUCAAACAAUCUGAA